GCGGGUGUGGUGAAGAGGCCCAACACACCUGGCUGUGAACCAGGCAUUCGUCAGUUCGAAUCUGAUCACUCGCCCCA
rnacentral:tRNA from 1 species